rnacentral:rRNA from 1 species
UACGUAGGGUGCGAGCGUUGUCCGGAAUUAUUGGGCGUAAAGCGCUCGUAGGCGGCUUGUCACGUCGAUUGUGAAAGCCCGAGGCUUAACCUCGGGUCUGCAGUCGAUACGGGCUAGCUAGAGUGUGGUAGGGGAGAUCGGAAUUCCUGGUGUAGCGGUGAAAUGCGCAGAUAUCAGGAGGAACACCGGUGGCGAAGGCGGAUCUCUGGGCCAUUACUGACGCUGAGGAGCGAAAGCGUGGGGAGCGAACAGG